GACCCGAAACCGAGUGACCUAUCCAUGGACAGGGUGAAGCGGAAGUAAAAUUCCGUGGAGGCCCGAACCACAUUGGUGUUGAAAACCAUGGGAUGAGCUGUGGAUAGGGGAGAAAUUCCAAUCGAACUCGGAUAUAGCUGG
rnacentral:ncRNA from 1 species